rnacentral:rRNA from 1 species
GACGAACGCUGGCGGCGUGCUUAACACAUGCAAGUCGAACGGAAAGGCCCUGCUUGCAGGGUACUCGAGUGGCGAACGGGGGAGUAACACGUGGGUGAUCUGCCCUGCACAUCGGGAUAAGCCUGGGAAACUGGGUCUAAUAUCGGAUAGGAGCCAUUUUUAUUGUGGUGGUUGGAAAGUUUUUUCGGUGUAGGAUGAGCUCGCGGCCUAUCAGCUUGUUGGUGGGGUAAUGGCCUACCAAGGCGGCGACGGGUAGCCGGCCUGGGAGGGUGGACGGCCACCUUGGGACUGAGGUACGGCCCAGACUCCUACGGGAGGCAGCAGUUGGGAAUAUUGCACAAUGGGGGCGAGCCUGAUGCAGCGACGCCGCGUGGGGGAUGACGGCCUUCGGGUUGUAAACUCCUUUCGCUAGGGACGAAGCUUUUUGUGACGGUACCUAGAGAAGAAGCACCGGCUAACUACGUG